GUCCAGACUCCUACGGGAGGCAGCAGUAGGGAAUCUUUCACAAUGGGCGAAAGCCUGAUGGAGCAACGCCGCGUGCAGGAUGAAGGCCUUCGGGUUGUAAACUGCUUUUAUAAGCGAGAAAUAUGAUGGUAACUUAUGAAUAAGGAUCGGCUAACUACGUGCCAGCAGCCGCGGUAAUACGUAGGUGGCAAGCGUUAUCCGGAUUUACUGGGUGUAAAGGGCGUGUAGGCGGGUCUGCAAGUCAGAUGUGAAAUCUCAUGGCUCAACCAUGGAAUUGCAUUUGAAACUGUAGAUCUUGAGUGAUGGAGAGGCAGGCGGAAUUCCGUGUGUAGCGGUGAAAUGCGUAGAUAUACGGAGGAACACCAGUGGCGAAGGCGGCCUGCUGGACAUUAACUGACGCUGAGGCGCGAAAGCGUGGGGAGCAAACAGGAUUAGAUACCCCAGUA
rnacentral:rRNA from 1 species